UCCGUAGGGGGUACCUGCGGAGGGAUCAUUACACAACAAAAAUAUGAGGGUGUGGUUUGCUGGCAACAGCGUCCGCCCCAAGUAUUUUUCACCCAUGUCUUUUGCGCACUUUUUGUUUCCUGGGCGAGUUCGCUCGCCACCAGGACCCAACCAUAAACCUUUUUUUAUGCAGUUGCAAUCAGCGUCAGUAUAAUAAUUCAAUUUAUUAAAACUUUCAACAACGGAUCUCUUGGUUCUGGCAUCGAUGAAGAACGCAGCGAAAUGCGAUACGUAGUGUGAAUUGCAGAAUUCAGUGAAUCAUCGAAUCUUUGAACGCACAUUGCGCCCUUUGGUAUUCCAAAGGGCAUGCCUGUUCGAGCGUCAUUUGUACCCUCAAGCUUUGCUUGGUGUUGGGCGUCUUUUUGUCUCUCCCCUUGUUGGGGGAGACUCGCCUUAAAACGAUUGGCAGCCGACCUACUGGUUUUCGGAGCGCAGCACAAAUUUGCGCCUUCCAAUCCACGGGGCGGCAUCCAGCAAGCCUUUGUUUUCUAUAACAAAUCCACAUUUUGACCUCGGAUCAGGUAGGGAUACCCGCUGAACUUAAGCAUAUCAAAAC
rnacentral:rRNA from 1 species